AGCCGCAUGCGAAGAUCGAUUUUCGCAUGCGGUCACUUAAGACGGCCGCAUGCGAAAAUAUAUCUUCGCAUGCGGCC
rnacentral:pre_miRNA from 18 species